rnacentral:rRNA from 1 species
AUUGAACGCUGGCGGCAGGCCUAACACAUGCAAGUCGAGCGGAUGAAGGGAGCUUGCUCCUGGAUUCAGCGGCGGACGGGUGAGUAAUGCCUAGGAAUCUGCCUGGUAGUGGGGGAUAACGUCCGGAAACGGGCGCUAAUACCGCAUACGUCCUGAGGGAGAAAGUGGGGGAUCUUCGGACCUCACGCUAUCAGAUGAGCCUAGGUCGGAUUAGCUAGUUGGUGGGGUAAAGGCCUACCAAGGCGACGAUCCGUAACUGGUCUGAGAGGAUGAUCAGUCACACUGGAACUGAGACACGGUCCAGACUCCUACGGGAGGCAGCAGUGGGGAAUAUUGGACAAUGGGCGAAGGCCUGAUCCAGCCAUGCCGCGUGUGUGAAGAAGGUCUUCGGAUUGUAAAGCACUUUAAGUUGGGAGGAAGGGCAGUAAGUUAAGACCUUGCCGUUUUGACGUUACCAACAGAAUAAGCACCGGCUAACUUCGU